UGAAUACGAUAUGCUACGGCGUCGAAGCAGUCUAUGUCAUACUUCCAAGAAAAGCUCGCACUGUCAUAAACAAAUAAUGCCUGUACCAUAACCGACACAGGUGGGUAGGUAGAGUAUACUAAGGGGCGCGAGAUAACUCUCUCUAAGGAACUCGGCAAAAUGACUCCGUAACUUCGGGAGAAGGAGUGCCUUAUUUAUAAGGUUGCAAUAACAAGAUCCAAGCAACUGUUUAUCAAAAACACAGGUCUCCGCUAAGUCGUAAGACGAUGUAUGGGGGCUGACGCCUGCCCAGUGCCAGAAGGUUAAAGAAGUUGGUUAGUGUAUGCGAAGCUGAUGACUGAAGCCCUGGUGAACGGCGGCCGUAACGAUAACGGUCCUAAGGUAGCGAAAUUCCUUGUCGGGUAAGUUCCGACCCGCACGAAAGGCGUAAUGAUUUGGAUACUGUCUCGGAGAGAGGCUCGGUGAAAUAGACUUGUCUGUGAAGAUGCGGACUACCUGCACCAGGACAGAAAGACCCUAUGAAGCUUUACUGUAACUUGAAAUUGGAAUUGGACUUUGCUUGCGCAGUAUAGGUGGGAAGCGUUGAAGAUAUUCUUGCGGGAGUAUUGGAGCUAUCAGUGAGAUACCACUCUUGUAAUGUUAGAUUUCUAACUUUGAACCAUAAUCUGGUCAAAGAACAGCUUCAGGUGGGCAGUUUGACUGGGGCGGUCGCCUCCCAAAUGGUAACGGAGGCGUACAAAGGUUUCCUCUGAACGGAUAGAAAUCGUAUCUAGAGUGUAAAGGCAUAAGGAAGCUUGACUGUGAGACCUACAAGUCGAGCAGGGACGAAAGUCGGUCUUAGUGAUCUGACGGUACUGAGUGGAAAGGCCGUCACUCAACGGAUAAAAGUUACUCUAAGGAUAACAGGCUGAUCUCCCCCAAGAGUUCACAUCGACGGGGAGGUUUGGCACCUCGAUGUCGGCUCAUCGCAUCCUGGGGCGGUAGUACGUCCCAAGGGUUGGGCUGUUCGCCCAUGAAAGCGGUACGCGAGCUGGGUUCAGAACGUCGUGAGACAGUUCGGUCCAUAUCCGGUGUAGGCGUUAGAAUAUUGAGAGGAGCCUUCUUUAGUACGAGAGGACCGAGAAGGACACACCGCUGGUGUACCAGUUAUCGUGCCAACGGUAAACGCUGGGUAGCUAUGUGUGGAGUGGAUAACCGCUGAAAGCAUCUAAGUGGGAAGCCCACCUCAAGAUGAGUAUCCUC
rnacentral:rRNA from 1 species